AAAAAGGAAUUCCAUGAUUGUGUUGAAAAUUUUAGUUGAAUGUUGAUUGUUGAAGUUGAUGGUACUUAUAUAGUGAAAGAUCUUUUUAAGCUUUUAACUUCAGUGUUGUCUUAUUUGACCAACUUUGACAACUCUCAUAAAACACAAGCAAAUUGUGGAUUGGACAAAUGCAAAUGCAAGAUACGAGUCCUUAAGACAUUAUGGACUUCCAAAUAUGCGAAGUGAGAUUCUCAGACAAUGAUACUAGCUUAGUUAUCAUGAAUUCAUGACUAUGCCUAGGAGAGUGCAUAAAAAGCUAUAAUUUGCUGCUUAUAGAAAUAAAAACUUUGAAUCCUUUAGAAUCUAGAAUGCCAUGGAACAUUA
rnacentral:misc_RNA from 1 species